UGCGUAGGCGGCUUCUUAAGUCGGAUGUGAAAUCCCUGAGCUUAACUUAGGAAUUGCAUUCGAUACUGGGAAGCUAGAGUAUGGGAGAGGAUGGUAGAAUUCCAGGUGUAGCGGUGAAAUGCGUAGAGAUCUGGAGGAAUACCGAUGGCGAAGGCAGCCAUCUGGCCUAAUACUGACGCUGAGGUACGAAAGCGUGGGGAGCAAACA
rnacentral:rRNA from 1 species